rnacentral:rRNA from 1 species
UGCAAGUCGAACGGAAGGCCUUUUCGGAGGUACUCGAGUGGCGAACGGGUGAGUAACACGUGGGUGAUCUGCCCUGCACUCUGGGAUAAGCCUGGGAAACUGGGUCUAAUACCGGAUAGGACCGCACUUUAGUGUGUGUGGUGGAAAGUUUUUUCGGUGUAGGAUGAGCCCGCGGCCUAUCAGCUUGUUGGUGGGGUAAUGGCCUACCAAGGCGGCGACGGGUAGCCGGACUGAGAGGUUGGUCGGCCACAUUGGGACUGAGAUACGGCCCAGACUCCUACGGGAGGCAGCAGUGGGGAAUAUUGCACAAUGGGCGCAAGCCUGAUGCAGCGACGCCGCGUGGGGGAUGACGGCCUUCGGGUUGUAAACUCCUUUCGCCAGGGACGAAGCGUUUUGUGACGGUACCUGGAGAAGAAGCACCGGCUAACUACGUGCCAGCAGCCGCGGUAAUACGUAGGGUGCAAGCGUUGUCCGGAAUUACUGGGCGUAAAGAGCUCGUAGGUGGUUUGUCACGUCGUCUGUGAAAUUCCACAGCUUAACUGUGGGCGUGCAGGCGAUACGGGCUGACUUGAGUACUGUAGGGGUAACUGGAAUUCCUGGUGUAGCGGUGAAAUGCGCAGAUAUCAGGAGGAACACCGAUGGCGAAGGCAGGUUACUGGGCAGUUACUGACGCUGAGGAGCGAAAGCAUGGGUAGCAAACAGGAUUAGAUACCCUGGUAGUCCAUGCCGUAAACGGUGGGCGCUAGGUGUAGGGGCCUUUUGGGGUUUCUGUGCCGUAGCUAACGCAUUAAGCGCCCCGCCUGGGGAGUACGGCCGCAAGGCUAAAACUCAAAGGAAUUGACGGGGGCCCGCACAAGCGGCGGAGCAUGUGGAUUAAUUCGAUG